GAUGAACGCUGGCGGCGUGCUUAACACAUGCAAGUCGAGCGAGAAAUUACAGUACAAGUUUUCGGACGAGUAAAGUAAUGGAAAGCGGCGGACGGGUGAGUAACGCGUAGGCAACCUGCCCUAUACAAAGGGAUAGCUCCGGGAAACCGGAAUUAAUACCUUAUAACACAACUUUAUCGCAUGAUAGAGGUGUCAAAGAUUUAUCGGUAUAGGAUGGGCCUGCGUCUGAUUAGCUAGUUGGUAGGGUAAAGGCUUACCAAGGCGACGAUCAGUAGCCGACCUGAGAGGGUGAUCGGCCACACUGGAACUGAGACACGGUCCAGACUCCUACGGGAGGCAGCAGUGGGGAAUAUUGCACAAUGGGCGAAAGCCUGAUGCAGCAACGCCGCGUGAGGGAAUAAGGUCUUCGGAUCGUAAACCUCUGUCCAAAGGGAUGAAAAAAAUGACAGUACCUUUGGAGGAAGCCCCGGCUAACUACGUGCCAGCAGCCGCCGUAA
rnacentral:rRNA from 1 species